rnacentral:rRNA from 1 species
GUGUCAGAAGCCGCGGUAAUACCGGCAGCCCAAGUGAUGGCCGAUCUUAUUGGGCCUAAAGCGUCCGUAGCUGGCCGCACAAGUCCAUCGGAAAAUCCACCCGCCCAACGGGUGGGCGUCCCGUGGAAACUGUGUGGCUUGGGACCGGAAGGCGCGACGGGUACGUCCGGGGUAGGAGUGAAAUCCCGUAAUCCUGGACGGACCGCCGAUGGCGAAAGCACGUCGCGAGGACGGAUCCGACAGUGAGGGACGAAAGCCAGGGUCUCGAACCGG